rnacentral:lncRNA from 1 species
CAAUUUAGUCAGCAGGGCACUGACUCCCUUCUUCUUUUAUAAGUGCUGUCAGAUCUGCGUACCCUGUACAGAACAGAGAGGCCUGGCUGCAUCUCAUUCUAGCAGAGGCACCUUCAAGCUACACUGCUUCCACUUAUCUUGCUGGAGAGCUGGCAGAUCUACUUGUAAGGAAGAGCUGUAAGGAAGAGCUGCCCCUUGUCCGUUCAUUUUUACAGUCAAG